AAAGAAUCCAUUCUGAUAAAACCACACAAAGCAGCAAGGCAGACUGGGGUAGAGUUCAAGAAGGCAGACUGAUACUUCUCUCACAAGAACAAAUUUGUGCCUCAGCAUGAGCAUAGUCUGGUGAACCCAAGAAGACCCCAGGCCCAGAAUCCUGAAGCUAGAAGUGUUUGACUGGAGAUGCAGCAGGAAUCCAGAAAUUUCACCUCACAGACUGCAUGAUUAGUCAGAGGUCUGAGCCCAAGAAGACUGAUGAACCUCACCAGACCCAGCUGUGAUGCAGAGAUGCAGCCCUGGGCAAGAAGAGUUAAAGAAGACUGGAGAAAAUAUCCAGUCCUUCUAUAUUGUUGUCUACAAACCUGAAAAUCCUGCUGCUUAUGCUUGAGGGAGAUGGAGGGGAGAAUGAAAAGGGAAAAAAAAAUAAACAUUUUCUUAGCAGAAUAAAAGAAUAACCCUACACGGAAGCAAAGUAAAGAUGGACACUCAUGAAUAUAAUUUGUUUGUCUCCUGCAUUAAAAUGUAAACUUAUGAAUAGAAUUGUUUUGUUUUCUGUAUUUGUAUCUCUUAAUGCUCAAUUAUAAACAACUACUAGUUGAUCAUUGCUUUAUACUAUGUCUUGAUUGGUUGAUUAACCUGAUUCAAAUCCUAACUUUGUCAUUACCAGUGUAAAAUUAGGAAAAUCAU